CCCUUAGAUGUUCUGGGCCGCACGCGCGCUACACUGAUUCAUGCAACAAGUUUUGUCCUUGGCUGAUAGGCCUGGGUAAUCUUUGAACGUGAAUCGUGAUGGGGAUAGAUGAUUGCAAUUAUUCAUCUUCAACGAGGAAUUCCUAGUAAACGCAAGUCAUCAGCUUGCAUUGAUUACGUCCCUGCCCUUUGUACACACCGUCCGUCGCACCUACCGAUUGAAUGGUCCGGUGAAAUCUUCGGAUCUGAGAGAUGUCUGAUUAAUUUCGGACGCCUUUUGGAAAAGUUGCUUAAACCUUACCAUUUAGAGGAAGGUGAAGUCGUAACA
rnacentral:rRNA from 1 species